AUCACUAAUCAUCUUUGUUUUGUUCCUCAUGCAUCACCGAACACUACAAAAUUCUUAUUUGUUUGUAGAAAUUUUUUAGUGAAAAUUAUUAAAACCUCCACAAUAUAAUUUAUUUAUAACAACUUUAAAGAGUUAACAAAAAUUUUCACUUUUUUUUUUGGUGACUAAAAACUUUCACUAUUUGUUUUCACUUUUCAACCCGAUUAUUUAUAAAAAACCCAACCCAAAAAAAUAUUUACCAAAUCCAUACCAAAAAUAAAAAAAAAAUGAAAGAGUUAUUCGAUCGAGAGAGAGAACAAGCAGGGAGAGUCUGAAACCCUAGAAUCAUGAUUCCAUCGCCACCGCCAUUCAUCUCCUUGCCGCCGUUGCCGCCAAGUUUCCUCCGUCGACCGUCGCCUGCUGGAGUUAUGAAUGGAGACCAGCUCACGGAGGAAGAAGCUCAGGCUCUUUCAAAGAGGUAAAUAAAAACGCUCUUUCUUUCAAAUCAGAUCUGUUUUCAGACAGCUACAGAAGAAGAGUAUUCUUCAACUAUGAAAAACGUAUCCGCUUACAGAGCCCUCCAGAAAAGGUUUUCGAGUACUUUGCAUCGAUCAAAAUCGCAAAUGGCAAGGUUUAUAUGACACCUGUAGAUUUGAUGCGUGCUGUUGUUCCGGUGUUCCCUCCUUCGGAAUCAAACCGUGUUAGAGAGGGCUUUCUUAGAGGGGAGCAGGUUCUUGGUACAUUGCGGUGUUAACCCUCUGAAUUCUUUAUGCUCUUUGACACUAACAAUGAUGGAGUCAUUUCUUUUCUAGAGUACAUCUUUUUUGUUACUCUCCUCAGCAUACCAGAAUCCAGCUUCACAGUCGUCUUCAAAAUGUUUGAUCUUAACAAUAAUGGGCAACUAAUAGAAAUAAAGGAAGCAAUUGAACGUCAGCACAAAUUAUUCAAGAAAAAAAAUCUGGAAAGACUAGUAGAGUGUGCAGCAGAUGGUUAGCAAAAACAGCUUGCGUUUCAUCAAAGGAGUCACCCUAAUGCUGCCCAAGAAUGCAAGCCCAAACCCCCACACCCUUAAGCACAACCAACUCUAGGCACAAAAGCUUCUAUAUGACAUGUUGGAAGAGACUAUAGAGAUAGUGAAGGAACUUGACCCUGUUCUGAAUGAUGAAGAUCCCAAGAUCAACCAGGAAGAAGAAGAAAGAGAACCUGGCAUUCGCUUGUUCAAGCAUGUUUGCCAACCAGGAAUAGUGUUUGAUCAUUUUGGUAACUCACUAAAUCAAAUGACCUCUUUUCUAGUGGCUUACUUAUCUAGAGUUUGAAAUUUUCAAUAUAUAUUUAUAGUUUCUGCAUAGGGUGUCAUCAUAUUUUCAAGUGACAGCGAGAAUGCUUUAAUCAGUCAAAUUAAUUUUAGUGCUUUAUAUAGUUGAAAUACAAUCUUUAUUUCAUCCAAUUGGGAUGCGAAGGGGUUUUUAUAUUAAUUUACUAUCCAGUUUGGUCGAGGUCAUAUUGACAGACCUUGUUUUAUAUUUCAAAUUAUUCAUGUUAAAUUUUGUUCAAAUAUGUAAUAUUUUAAUUUCCUUCUAAA